CCUACGGGGGGCAGCAGUGGGGAAUAUUGCGCAAUGGGCGAAAGCCUGACGCAGCGACGCCGCGUGAGUGAUGAAGGUCUUCGGAUUGUAAACCUCUUUCAGCAGGGAAGAACGGUCACUGUGCUAAUCAGCAGUGAAUUGACGGUACCUGCAAAGGAAGCACCGGCUAACUCCGUGCCAGCAGCCGCGGUAAUACGGAGGGUGCGAGCGUUAAUCGGAAUUACUGGGCGUAAAGCGCUCGUAGGCGGUAUGUCAAGUCAAGGGUGAAAUCCCCGCGCUCAACGUGGGAACUGCCUUUGAAACUGGCAAGCUGGAGUGUGUGAGAGGGUGGUAGAAUUCCAGGUGUAGGGGUGAAAUGCGUAGAUAUCUGGAGGAACAUCAGUGGCGAAGGCGACUAUCUGGCAGAUAACUGACGCUGAGGAGCGAAAGCGUGGGUAGCAAACAGGAUUAGAUACCCUAGUAGUC
rnacentral:rRNA from 1 species